AUCUUUCUUCUUCCUGGAAUUUUUCCUUCAAACCUUCAUUUCUCACCAAACGUAUCAAAGCCAGAUGAUUCUCAUGGCCAAUGACGGAGUCAUGACAUGACUGCAAAAGGAAUUGGGGCUUCUGUAACACGAGCUUUCCCAGAUUGACAACAAGCUCGAUACUAAACUGGAAAUGAAGUUGGACUCUCGUUUCAAGGUUCAUGAGGAUUUUAAGGGGGAAAUACGAUGGGAAAUUAGAGCUGAGAUGC
rnacentral:lncRNA from 1 species